GACGAACGCUGGCGGCGUGCUUAACACAUGCAAGUCGAGCGGUAAGGCCCUUUCGGGGGUACACGAGCGGCGAACGGGUGAGUAACACGUGGGUGACCUGCCCUUAGCUCUGGGAUAAGCCUGGGAAACUGGGUCUAAUACCGGAUAUGACCUCAUGACGCAUGUUGUGGGGUGGAAAGCCUUGUGCGGCUAGGGAUGGGCCCGCGGCCUAUCAGCUUGUUGGUGGGGUGAUGGCCUACCAAGGCGACGACGGGUAGCCGGCCUGAGAGG
rnacentral:rRNA from 1 species